rnacentral:lncRNA from 1 species
GGUUAGGUAGGACUAAAUAUUCGAGCAAGAGGCGUAUCUAUUAGUAUUUUUAGAGUCGAGUGUGAGGCAGCCUUUAUCAAAAAUGAAAGUGCUCAGGUUCCCUGAAUGGUGGACUGGCUUCUCUUUAUUCUAAACUAAAUUCUUAACAGAGAAACUGUGACUAUUUUACAUCAACUCUCAUUGUAUACAACUAAAUUCCUCUUAAUUUACUCAGUAGCAAUUUGUUAAAUUGCAGUUCUGAAGUGUUUCACUCAACGGGAAAUAGGAGAUGAUGAGCAGCCUCCCACAAAGAUCCAGGCUUGCUUGAUUUUAUACAAAAGCUUUUCCAUCUCCCUUCCCAAUUCUGUUUAGUGGUACUCUUAAUAAAAUGAACAAGAAAUAGAUUUUCUGAAAGCAUGAAACCUAUACCAGACAUCUAGACUGAAAAAGAACCAAGUGCACCAAAGCGCUCACUUGCAAAAUAGGAAGUGAAGGCUUACUUGCUGGUGAGUAAAACUUAAACAUUAGCAGAAGUUAUGUGUGCUCGCUAGGCUUGUGAGUCUGAAGGGCUUAACAGAAUUCUCUGUACUUGGAGGAUGUUUGAGAACUUACAUUUGUUUCCUAUACUUAAGAUGAAGACUAUGAAACAGCUGUUAAAAAACUUAAUGGGAGACUCUAUCCAGAAGGGAAAAGGAAAUCACAAGGUCCUGCAAAAGAUACGUCUGAAAAGACAAGAGGAGACAUCACAGGCAAAACUGAGUUGAAAACCGAAGAAGAAUGUGUUACUGCUCAGGAAAAGAAAACAACUCCUGAUGUAUGUACUAAGUCUUCAUAGAACUUUUUGUCAUUGAAUUUGUAGAAGUAUUUUCGCACUUGUAAGACUUGACACUUUUCACUUUCUGAGGAAGAAAACCAUGUAUUAGGGGAAAAGUUAUUUGACUCCUCUGACUGUGCCUCAAGUCUUUGACACAGAAACUGAGGUUCAGACCUGAAGUUUGUCAGGGAGAGAAAGAAGGUGCAGCUGUUUUCCUAAUAUAAACAGCUUUGGCUAGAAAUAUCCCUGUGAAUAUGUAUGCGGGAAUUAAUUGAUUUCAAAGAAAUUGUGUCUUUGCGGAAGCAUUCUGCUUCAAAGGUAGUUGGGUCUCUUGUAAAGUUGUGUCCAAUGUGUAGUAAGCGUCAGAAAAAAGAACUAAUAAAACUGUCAGAAAGCUUCCA